rnacentral:rRNA from 1 species
GAUGAACGCUGGCGGCGUGCUUAACACAUGCAAGUCGAACGGAAAGGCCCAAGCUUGCUUGGGUACUCGAGUGGCGAACGGGUGAGUAACACGUGGGUGAUCUGCCCUGCACUUCGGGAUAAGCCUGGGAAACUGGGUCUAAUACCGGAUAGGACGAUGGUUUGGAUGCCAUUGUGGAAAGUUUUUUCGGUGUGGGAUGAGCUCGCGGCCUAUCAGCUUGUUGGUGGGGUAAUGGCCUACCAAGGCGUCGACGGGUAGCCGGCCUGAGAGGGUGUACGGCCACAUUGGGACUGAGAUACGGCCCAGACUCCUACGGGAGGCAGCAGUGGGGAAUAUUGAACAAUGGGCGCAAGCCUGAUGCAGCGACGCCGCGUGGGGGAUGACGGCCUUAGGGUUGUAAACUCCUUUCGCUAGGGACGAAGCGUUUUUGUGACGGUACCUGGAGAAGAAGCACCGGCUAACUACGUG